rnacentral:rRNA from 1 species
CGCGUGGGAAUCUGCCCUUGGGUUCGGAAUAACAGUUGGAAACGACUGCUAAUACCGGAUGAUGUCGCGAGACCAAAGAUUUAUCGCCCAGGGAUGAGCCCGCGUCGGAUUAGGUAGUUGGUGGGGUAAAGGCCUACCAAGCCGACGAUCCGUAGCUGGUCUGAGAGGAUGAUCAGCCACACUGGGACUGAGACACGGCCCAGACUCCUACGGGAGGCAGCAGUGGGGAAUAUUGGACAAUGGGCGAAAGCCUGAUCCAGCAAUGCCGCGUGAGUGAUGAAGGCCUUAGGGUUGUAAAGCUCUUUUACCCGGGAUGAUAAUGACAGUACCGGGAGAAUAAGCUCCGGCUAACUCCGUGCCAGCAGCCGCGGUAAUACGGAGGGAGCUAGCGUUGUUCGGAAUUACUGGGCGUAAAGCGCACGUANGCNGCUUUGUAAGUCAGGGUGAAAGCCGGAGCU